CUUGAUCUCCUGACCUCGUGAUCCACCUGCCUCAGCCUCCCAGUCAACUCUUGUGGAUACCUCCAGGUACAAAGUAUAUCAGAACAUUCACCAACAAGUUAACAUGUUUUGAAACUAUGGAUGGUGCUUUUUUGAUAUUUUUACUGCCUCUGUUGGUGAUUGAUAGUGCUCACUUUUAAGCUUUUUCAGGCCAAAAUUAUUGUAACCAUUUUCUGUGAUGUAGAAUUUUGAGACUUUAAUAAUUACUUUUUAUACAUUAGAAUGGAAUCAGAAAUCUUUUAUUAUGGUUAUUAUUUUAUUAUUUUUAUUAUUAGUUUUAACAUUUUAUUGAAUGCUUACCACGUACCAGUCUCUGUUGAAUACUGUAGAUGUAUUUACUUAUUUAAUCCCCACAAAAAACCAUAUGAGGUAGGCAUUAUUUGAUUAGGCCACACACUGUAGAUGCUCAGAAGACAUUUGUGA
rnacentral:lncRNA from 1 species